GAUUUCAAUUGAAAAAGUCAUGAACAACAAAGUUGAAUAACUCAUAGAGAUCUAAAACUUUUACUUUUGUUAUUUCUUCAUCCGACGAAACGUUAGUAAUAUUAUUCACAAAUUUUACAUAUAUGUGUCAUAGUUUAUAAAACCAGAUAAGAGAUAUGUCAAUUUUGUGAAUAAUGUUACUAUCACUUUGUCGUAUGAAGAAAUGACCAAAAUAAAAGUUUUAGAUCUUGAUGAGUUAUUCAACUUUGUUGUUGAUGACAUUUUCAGUUGAUAUC
rnacentral:pre_miRNA from 1 species